CCGCCAAAAGCAUCGCCACCAAAACCUUCUUAUGGUGCUUCACCACCUGAACAUGUACAUCCACCAAAGCCUUCUUACGGUGCUCCACCACCUGAACACGUACACCCACCAAAGCCCAGCCAACCUCCAGUACACCCUCCGAAGCCAUACCCACCAAAAGCAUCACCACCAAAGCCGUACCCGCCAAAAGCAUCGCCACCAAAGCCCGGCCAACCUCCAGUACACCCUCCGAUGCCAUACCCACCAAAGGCAUCACCACCAAAACCAUACCCGCCAAAAGCAUCGCCACCAAAGCCCAGCCAACCUCCAGUACACCCUCCGAAGCCAUACCCACCAAAAGCAUCACCACCAAAGCCAUACCCGCCAAAAGCAUCACCGCCAAAGACUAGUCAGCCUCCUGUAGUACAACCCCCAAAGCCGUACCCACCAAAAGCAUCUCCACCAAAGCCAUACCCUCCCAAAUCGUCACCACCAAAAGGUAGUCGCCCACCAAAGGCGGCGCCACCAAAACCACCAAAGGGCGCGACACCACCUGCAUUCCCUCCUGGUUAUUACAUUCCAC
rnacentral:lncRNA from 1 species